rnacentral:lncRNA from 1 species
CAGGUGUGUGCAGGUGAGCCCCGACAGGUGUGUACAGGUGUGUGCAGGUGAGUCCUGCAGGUGUGCUCAGGUGUGCUCAGGUAUGCUCAGGUGUGUGCAGGUGUGUGCAGGUGAGUCCUGACAGGUGUGUGCAGGGGUGUGCAGGUGAGUCCUGACAGGUGUGUACAGGUGUGUGCAGGUGUGCACAGGUGUGUGCAGGUGAGUCCUGACAGGUGUGUGCAGGUGUGCUCAGGUGUGUGCAGGUGAGUCCUGACAGGUGUGUGCAGGUGAGUCCUGACAGGUGUGCACAGGUGUGCUCAGGUGUGCACAGGUGUUUGGUGUGCUCAGGUGUGCUCAGGUGUGCUCAGGGGAGCCCCAC